GAUUAAAUGGCUGAAUUAUAGGCAAUAGAUUGUAAAUUUAUGUAUGAAGAUUUGACUUCUUUAAUCA
rnacentral:tRNA from 1 species